AUGCCAGGUGCCUUUGUCCACGCUGGGUGUGUACAGCUCCGAGAACGCAGUUGAGCUUCUGCAGGAGCAAGCGGCGGCAGUUACAGGAUCCUAGGCUGGUGUGUGUGUCACAUGCUGUGUCUGAGAAGAAAAAUAAAAGCAGGCAGAGAUGAGCCAGGCACCCACUGCAUCUCAGUGCCAGGUUGCUACAGGUGUCAGAAAUUCACCUCGCCCCGAGAAUCAUGAGACUGCAUUUCUCCUGGGUCUUUCUUCCUUUGUACUUCUCCUGCUCCGAAGCCCAGGUGGAUCAGAGCCCACAGUUGCUGGUUACUGGGGAAGGGAAGGUCUCCACCAUGUCCUGUGCUUUCACCAGCAAGUACCAAACCUUCCACUGGUACCAGCAGCUCCAAGGGCGAGGCCUGACCUACCUGCUGUCCGUCAGCCCUCAGGAGAACGCUACCGAGCAGCGGUUCAUGGGGCAGCCCCUGGAAGAUGGGAAACGCAGCUCCCUGCACAUCACCGACUCCCAGUUGGGGGACUCAGGCAGCUACCUCUGUGCUGUGAGAGCACAGUGACACAGGCUGUACUGGGAUCUGUGCAAAAACUCUCACCUUCUAAGAGACAGU